GACGAACGCUGGCGGCGUGCCUAACACAUGCAAGUCGAACGGUCCAGCACUUAACACAGCGUAUGCUGUGUUAAGUGCUGGAUAGUGGCGGACGGGUGAGUAACGCGUGGGUAACCUGCCCUGUACCGGGGGAUAACACCGGGAAACCGGUGCUAAUACCGCAUGAAGCCUAUCAGCUGCAUAGCCAAUAGGUUAAAGCGAAUAAGCGGUAUAGGAUGGACCCGCGUCCCAUUAGCUAGUUGGUGAGGUAGAGGCUCACCAAGGCGACGAUGGGUAGCCGGCCUGAGAGGGUGACCGGCCACACUGGGACUGAGACACGGCCCAGACUCCUACGGGAGGCAGCAGUGGGGAUAUUGCGCAAUGGGGGGAACCCUGACGCAGCGACGCCGCGUGAGCGACGAAGGCCUUCGGGUUGUUAAAGGCUCUGUCUUGGAGGGACGGAAGGAAAGUAGACGGGUACCGUACCCGGAGGAAACGGACCGACGGCUAACUACGUGCCAGCAGCCGCGGUAAACAUACCUACG
rnacentral:rRNA from 1 species